UGCAGCGCCGUCAGAUGAUAAUGGCAUGAUUGUUUGAACAGAACCCUUACCAAACGAUUUUGUACCUACAAUAAUAGCUCGAUGAUGAUCCUGUAAUGCUCCAGCUACAAUUUCUGAUGCUGAAGCAGAGCCACCAUUAAUCAAUACAACAACUGGUUUUCCAUUAGUUAAAUCCCCUGGCGUUGCAUUAUAUCUUUCUGCAUUACGCGCGCCACGUCCACGUGUUGAAACAAUCUCGCCACUUUCUAAAAAUGCAUCUGAUACACGGAUUGCUUGGUUUAACAGCCCACCUGGAUUAUUACGC
rnacentral:ncRNA from 1 species